AAGUCGUAACAAGGUUUCCGUAGGUGAACCUGCGGAAGGACCAUUAUCGUAACAAAAUGUGUUGAGGCAUGCAACGGCUGUCGCUGACCAAAAGUCGUGCACGCCAGGGUGUGUCCUCUCACAUAAAAUCCAUCUCACCCUUUUGUGCACCACCGCGUGGGCACCCUUCGGGAUCGAACAGAUCCAGGAGGGGGCUUGCGUUUUCACACAAACCCCUUUUUGAAAAGUGUAGAAUGACCCCACUUUUGCGAUAACACGCAAUCAAUACAA
rnacentral:misc_RNA from 1 species